UCUCUAUCAAAGGUUAUUAGCAAUAUUUUAAGAGUUGCUUAGGUUAAAAAAUAAAUCAUAUUAAUGAAAAAAAACAAAUUUUGCUAGUAAUCGAUCUUUGUGUUAGAGAUUUAAGGAUCACUAAGGAUUGAGGUUGUUUCGACACCUGAUUGGUUAGAGAGAAAAAAAUAUAUAUAUAUAUAUAUAUUUUUUCCCUCGUUCUCUCUCGCGACUGGUCCAACGCCUUUGUCCGUCGUCAUCACCAUCUCCAUCGCCUGUGCAACCAGCGACGAUUCAAGUGGCGAAAUAAGAGUCUUUGGUUCAAUGAUGUUUCAAUCAGUUUUCAUUGAACAAGUUGCAGAAUUUGGCUGGACAACACUCAGAUGUCCUUAUGAACUUGACUCCGACAGUCAGGAAGCGUGUCAAGGUUCUAAGAGAGAUUAAUUUUGCUGCCACCGAGAUUCAGACUUGAGGGAAGCUUUGCAGCUGGUGCUAGUUCCCAAACUCUUCUCGCAAAAGGGCAUAGCAUGAGAAUGUGGAGUUUGGAUUAUUCAGCUCCACACCUUUUUUCUUAUUCUUUUAUGCCAUGUUUGUUUA